rnacentral:rRNA from 1 species
CAGUCGCCACGGUAAUACGUAGGUGGCAAGCGUUGUCCGGAAUUAUUGGGCGUAAAGCGCGCGCAGGUGGUUUAAUAAGUCCGAUGUGAAAGCCUUGGGCUUAACCUGAGAGUUGCUUUUAAGACUGUCGAGCUAGAAUCCAGAAGAGGGUAGUGGAAUUCCGAGUGUAGAGGUGAAAUUCGUAGGUAUUCGGAAGAACACCAGUGGCGAAGGCGACUACCUGGUCUGGCAUUGACGCUCAUGUGCGAAAGCGUGGGGAGCAAACAGGAUUAGAUACCCCCGUAGUCCCUGUCUCUUAUAC